rnacentral:lncRNA from 1 species
AUUUCCUACGGUGGUGGUCGGAGAUGACAGUCUGAGUCCUUGACUUGCCAUAAUCCACCUCGCGUUAGUGCUCUUGCCCGUCCUGAGCCAUUCAGGCACCUGGCACGGCAAAGCUUCACCACCUCCGCCCCAUUGCACUUUGUUGUCUCAACGUUUACCUGCAUGUAUGUCAUAAACCCACAAGAUGUUGGAGUUGUUGCUUUAGACCAUAGGAACUGCGUGAAGAUCCCUGGACUCUCCGCGUAGAUGACGAGGCCUGCACAAUAAGGACGGUUUUGCUUCUUGCUGUCCACCCUGAAAACCUGUUCUUUUUUCUUUGCCUUAUUUGACUGGCCAAGUCCUCUGGUGAAAGGAGCAGACGUCGUGGAGCCGCCGACUCCCCCUGGCGGGGAGCUGCAGUUUCUCGCCUUCAGAUCCACACCAGCCCUGGGUUUCCCACAGCCCCUUCCCCAGGAUUCAGAGGCAACCCCAGGUCGUCAAUCAGCCCUGUCAACAAAGCGCUUCUUCUGCUGGCUGUUCUACUGGCAGGAGGACCCCACAACAUCCAGAGGGCAGCACAGAUUUCCGUGUAGUAGAACCCUUCCCGGGCCCCCGGGGACCCCCCAUCCUGCGCCAGGCCUUCUGUUGCAGCAGACGGUAACGUUAUGGAGAACAGGGCUCUGGAAAUGGGGUGAGGGGAGCGCUCGUUCCUGGGCCCACACGCUGGUCUUAGGAUCACAGUGUCACGCGGCAGCCACUUUGACGGGAACCAGCCACACCUGCUCAGGGCCAUCCGCACUCCAGUGUCUGGGCUUCCCUUUGAGGGUCGUGCUCGGUCUCCACAGCUGCCAAGCGAGGAGGGUGCGAUGUGAACAGUGGACUCCUUGUCCGUGUGCCCAACAUCAUUCCUCGUGUUCUGGGGUGAACUAUGUCCCCAGAAGGACGUGCUCAAUCCCACCCCCGGAACCUGUGACUGUGACAUUAUUUGUGGAUAGGGCCGUGCACAUGGAAUCAGGUUAAGAUGAGGUCGGACUGGAUUAGGGUGGGCCCCAAAUCCAGUAUGACUGUGUCCUUGUAAGAAGAGGGAAGUUGGGACACAGAGACAUGCAGAGAGGGGAGACCAUGUGAACAUGGGGCACAGAGUGGGGUGAUGCUGCCGCAAAGCGAG